CAGUCGCCGCGGGAAUACGGAGGGGGCUAGCGUUGUUCGGAAUUACUGGGCGUAAAGCGCACGUAGGCGGCUUGGUAAGUUAGAGGUGAAAGCCCGGAGCUCAACUCCGGAAUUGCCUUUAAGACUGCCGAGCUAGUAGGUGAGAGAGGUAAGUGGAAUUCCGAGUGUAGAGGUGAAAUUCGUAGAUAUUCGGAAGAACACCAGUGGCGAAGGCGGCUUACUGGCUCAUUCUAGACGCUGAGGUGCGAAAGCGUGGGGAGCAAACAGGAUUAGAUACCCGAGUAGUCCCUGUCUCUUAUAC
rnacentral:rRNA from 1 species